rnacentral:rRNA from 1 species
ACGAACGCUGGCGGCGUGCUUAACACCUGCAAGUCGAACGGAAAGGCCCUGCUUUUGUGGGGUGCUCGAGUGGCGAACGGGUGAGUAACACGUGAGUAACCUGCCCUUGACUUUGGGAUAACUUCAGGAAACUGGGGCUAAUACCGGAUAGGAGCUCCUGCUGCAUGGUGGGGGUUGGAAAGUUUCGGCGGUUGGGGAUGGACUCGCGGCUUAUCAGCUUGUUGGUGGGGUAGUGGCUUACCAAGGCUUUGACGGGUAGCCGGCCUGAGAGGAUGACCGGCCACAUUGGGACUGAGAUACGGCCCAGACUCCUACGGGAGGCAGCAGUGGGGAAUAUUGCACAAUGGGCGGAAGCCUGAUGCAGCAACGCCGCGUGCGGGAUGACGGCCUUCGGGUUGUAAACCGCUUUCGCCUGUGACGAAGCGUGAGUGACGGUAAUGGGUAAAGAAGCACCGGCUAACUACGUG